GAAGCAGGCUGGAGACAGAAUCCACAAGCUCCCAGUCAUGCUGGGCCGUCUCAGGCAUACACGUCCAGAGGGCAGAGCCUGCUUAACUUACGACACAUGUGAAGGUGAUUAGCAGGGAGCUGGAUUGGAAGAAGAACAGCUGGGACACGAACCAGCACCAUAUGGGAUGCGGAUUACCCCACUACGCCACAACACCAGCCCCAGAGAUUUUUUGACGCUGGCCUCUGAAUGGAGCUUGAACAAGUCGGCCAGAAGAGCAGCUACAGAUGUUUACUGCUUGCUUCCUGUGCAGCAGCUCCAUCCUAGGAAUGCCAGACUCAGUUCUCUCCCGGCUUCAGACUCUGACCACAAUCAUCCCAGCUGGCCCCUAGGACAAACUGUUCUACCCAGGGCACAGCCUUACUGGAAAGCCACAAACCUGCCUCAGACUUGAGAGAGAAGCACCCUGGAGAAGCCACGCUCGAGGCUGGGAGGCCAAAGAGUGCAAGGGGCUCUCCAGUGCACAGCGAAGAUCUUUGCAGGUUUUCAGCAGGUGCGUGGGCAGAAUCGGGGAAGGUGAAGGUGAUGGGUGUGGCUCGACAGAACGAAGACUCAGCAGAGCCUUGUCUCUGAAAAGCAUUUGGAAGCAGACGGGAGCUGGAAUGGGCCUGUCUCCCAGCACUGCCUUCUAGAACGUGGCCCCAGGUGAGUUCCAGAUGCAUGCCCCAUCAUGCAUCUCCUGGAUGCCCUUUUUGGGACAUUGAGGGUGGUGGCAUCGGAACCCACAUGCCCCUCCCUUGUCCGCCUAUGGACUCAGGAGGACCUGGGGAUGUGGAAGAACGCUGUUUCUUUGCCCCCUUAUCUGGAGGGUGGCACAGGAACAAGGGGGUGGCAACUUCAGCAAAGUCGGAUUCUCGACAGUGAAGAGGAGCUGACAGUCCCAGCCUCCCCAGUGCUUCAGAAGCUGCAACGGCGCUCUGCUGUCUGGCAUCUGCACUCCCAGACCAGGAGGGGCCGGGACACACACGUGGCACUGCCACGCAGCCCAGGCUCUGGCUCGCAGACCCAGCGAGCUCCUCUAGCAGGGCCUCAAAAGAAACCGACUGCACGGUCUCCUCUUCGACCAAAUGAUCUUGAGACUUCGUCGCUUCCACUCUCAAAUCAACUAGCACCCUCCGGGUCAGUGCGAGGGAUCUGCACACACUCACCAACACAAGCCAGGUAUCCAGUAAGGGUUUCCUGCGUGUGGAUCUAAUUAAAAUACAGGUAAACUCCAGGAAGACACAUAUUUGACCGCGUUUCUUAGUGAUGUCCCAAAUUUCCUCCUCAAUCUCUGUAAGCAGGGCUAUCAGAGGAUGCUUUGUGCUGUCCCCCACCCCAUCAAUCCUCAAGGGACUGUGUGGUGGAGCAGGGCCUGCGCACCAGGAAUAAACAAUUCUGACCCUUCUGUCUGUGGGUACUAAGUCUUGGCCACAGGCAGGGGGCACUAACCAGACUGAAGAAAACGAUUAAAGUAAAAGGCGUGAACAGGUGGCACACAUAUGCUGGGGAAGGCUACGCCCUCACUAGGAACCUCAGACUGCACACCACAAAUUAAGCCAUGGCUUAAUUCUAGGGUUCAGGUAAACUCAUGGGAGCAAUGGGAUGGAAAGUACUAAACACGUACAGCUAAUACCUGCUGGAAAUCACGCCAGGGGUCUAGAGAGCUGAAAGCACAUUCAAGAGCAUCUAUCGGCCUUGGAUUUUAUCUCACUGGUUUCUGUCCUGAGUGUAUUACAUUAUGCAUGGCAUAGUAGUACAGCAGUACAUGUAUACACAGUUCUCCAGUUGUCCCACAGUAUCCACGCUGGGUUGGAUACUAACAUCCUGGGGUAUUAAAGUCCCUUAGAUAAAAUGGUGCUGUAUCUGCACAUAGCCUGUACCCAUCUUCCCAUAUAUUUCAAAUCAUCCCUAAAUUACUUACAGUACUUGACUCAAGGUAAAUGCUAGGUAAAUAGUUGCCAUACUAUAUUGUUUAAGGCAUAAUGAUAAGAAAAAUUAGAACAUGUACAAUGCAGACACAUUAUUUUUUUCCUUAGUAUCUCUGAGCCGUGGUUGGUUGAAUCCAUGGAUGUGGAACUCAUGGAUGUUGAGGUCUGGCUGGAAUUUAUACAGAUAUGUCUACAGUGGGAGGAUGCUCUGACAACUCCUGCUGAUGGCAUACACAGUCAGAAGAGCUUGGAGACAAUCUAACUAGAAGAAUGGAAACAACCAUAAAUGACUCAACUAAGCAGAAUAAAGGGUCCAAGAUAUUACCAAGGGUCUCUGCCAGGCUGACCUGAUGUAGAAAGGGAAUAGUCAGCUGUCCACUGGGAAAGUCCCUCCCCCAGGGAUUGCCUAGUGCCCUAUAGUCUCUUAAAGGAUAGAUUCACUUGCAUUUUGGUGAGACAGAAAAGAAUGUCAUCAUCCUGACUCUUACCGUCUAAGCCCGCAACCAGUCUCUGGCGUCUCAUUACACUUAGCAGCCUUUGUUCUCAGGCCCUCCACACACAAGCAUGGCCCUGAAAAGCUAGGAGGGGCUGCCGCCCAGCCCACGCCCAGCUCAUCAACCCACGUGCCUCAGAGAGGGGCCGUCCGUUGAAGGAAGAACCGUCUUUUAUGAAUUCUCACAAACGCUCUGUAAGCAAUAGCAAUGUCCUUGCUUUUUGCUCUUUAUUUGAAUACUAUUUUCCCAUUUGGUUUUGCUUUUAUAAAUACAGUUUAUUGCUUGUUUUGUCUUAGUCUAAUAAUAAGUCUGAGAACCCUUGA